UACGUAGGGGGCGAGCGUUGUCCGGAUUCAUUGGGCGUAAAGAGCUCGUAGGCGGUUCGGCAAGUCGGGUGUGAAAACUCCAGGCUCAACCUGGAGACGCCACCCGAUACUGCUGUGACUCGAGUCCGGUAGGGGACCACGGAAUUCCUGGUGUAGCGGUGAAAUGCGCAGAUAUCAGGAGGAACACCGGUGGCGAAGGCGGGGACUCUGGGCCGAUACUGACGCUGAGGAGCGAAAGCGUGGGGAGCGAACAGGA
rnacentral:rRNA from 1 species